GACGAACGCUGGCGGCGUGCUUAACACAUGCAAGUCGAACGGUGAAGCCUUCGGGUGGAUCAGUGGCGAACGGGUGAGUAACACGUGAGCAACCUGCCCUUGACUCUGGGAUAACUUCGGGAAACCGGAGCUAAUACCGGAUAUGACAUCUGGCCGCAUGGUCUGGGGUGUGGAAAGAUUUAUCGGUCAAGGAUGAGCUCGCGGCCUAUCAGCUUGUUGGUGGGGUAAGGCCCACCAAGGCGACGACGGGUAGCCGGCCUGAGAGGGCGACCGGCCACACUGGGACUGAGACACGGCCCAGACUCCUACGGGAGGCAGCAGUGGGGAAUAUUGCGCAAUGGGCGGAAGCCUGACGCAGCGACGCCGCGU
rnacentral:rRNA from 1 species